GAACGCUGGCGGCGUGCCUAAUACAUGCAAGUCGAGCGAACGGACGAGAAGCUUGCUUCUCUGAUGUUAGCGGCGGACGGGUGAGUAACACGUGGAUAACCUACCUAUAAGACUGGGAUAACUUCGGGAAACCGGAGCUAAUACCGGAUAAUAUUUUGAACCGCAUGGUUCAAAAGUGAAAGACGGUCUUGCUGUCACUUAUAGAUGGAUCCGCGCUGCAUUAGCUAGUUGGUAAGGUAACGGCUUACCAAGGCAACGAUGCAUAGCCGACCUGAGAGGGUGAUCGGCCACACUGGAACUGAGACACGGUCCAGACUCCUACGGGAGGCAGCAGUAGGGAAUCUUCCGCAAUGGGCGAAAGCCUGACGGAGCAACGCCGCGUGAGUGAUGAAGGUCUUCGGAUCGUAAAACUCUGUUAUUAGGGAAGAACAUAUGUGUAAGUAACUGUGCACAUCUUGACGGUACCUAAUCAGAAAGCCACGGCUAACUACGU
rnacentral:rRNA from 1 species